AUUGAACGCUGGCGGCAUGCUUUACACAUGCAAGUCGAACGGCAGCGCGGGGCAACCUGGCGGCGAGUGGCGCACGGGUGAGUAAUAUAUCGGAACGUACCCAGAAGUGGGGGAUAACGUAGCGAAAGUUACGCUAAUACCGCAUACGAUCUACGGAUGAAAGUAGGGGACCGCAAGGCCUUAUGCUUUUGGAGCGGCCGAUAUCUGAUUAGCUAGUUGGUGGGGUAAAGGCUCACCAAGGCGACGAUCAGUAGCUGGUCUGAGAGGACGACCAGCCACACUGGAACUGAGACACGGUCCAGACUCCUACGGGAGGCAGCAGUGGGGAAUUUUGGACAAUGGGCGCAAGCCUGAUCCAGCAAUGCCGCGUGAGUGAAGAAGGCCUUCGGGUUGUAAAGCUCUUUUGUCAGGGAAGAAACGGUAGAGGCUAAUAUCCUUUGCUAAUGACGGUACCUGAAGAAUAAGCACCGGCUAACUACGU
rnacentral:rRNA from 1 species